UUCAUUACAGAAGACUUCUUGGAGACAAGUGGUAGGAUCAACAUCUGUCAGACAGGAGGGCCUACCUCACCCAGGCUUCAUGAAACCCAGAGAGAGAGAAGGAUUUGAGAGGAGCUGCAGAACAAGUCAGCUGGGAAGCUGGAGCAGGACCCCAGAGCCCCUGGGCACUGUUAGGAUUGUGCAUAGGUUGUAACCCGCCAACGGCCCCCUCCUCGGCCGUUAUGCCUGGGCUGGCUCCCCCAACUGCCGCGCGGCGAACCCCGUCGCCAUCGUCCCUACCUGCACGUGCACCGCUGCGUCCAGCGCCAGGCCCACCGGGUGGCCGCGGUGCGCGCCCAGCACCGGGCAAAGCGCGCACACGCAGCGGCGGCAGCGGCUACAGAAGAGCUCAACCACGCGGUCGCCAUGCUCCGGGCAGCGCCAGCCGCCUCCCUCGACAAGCUCCGACUCCCCAGGGGUCCGGCUCCUGGCCGCCGCGCCCGCCAUUCAUCUCCGCCACCUCCGGCUCCCCGGGGCACCGGGCGGGGCCCCCGAGGGAAAACGAAACCUAGGCCGUGGGCGGGGCAGCUCCAGGCCUGCCGGCCGGCCGCUAAGUAGAUAACAGCCCUCGGGAGCAGCGUCGGGCCUCGGAGCAUCCUCUGACCAGCAGGGUGCUCCCUCUGCCCGCCCAGGCCGGGAGGUGGACCCAGCAGAAAUAGGAGGCUCCUAAUGAGCCAGCUGGGAGAGGGUGGGCUUCCUGCUUAAUGACGCUGGUCCAAUAACGCCCAGAAAACUGCAGCCCUGAUGAUGGGACCAAAGUUGGCUGUGACUUUCGGGGGUGCUCCUCUCACUUUACCUUGUUCCUCUCUUGCUGUUUUCCCGGGGAAGAUAACCAUUCCCACAACUGUAAGAUACUUCGUCAACCUCAAAUAAGGACACAGAGAUUCUCCAAUUGAGUUUAUCUCUGACUGAGCAGAAGGAUUGCAAUUCGGGAAUAAAUGUGCCAUGGCACCCAAGGGGUGGGGGCGCGGAGUACUCAGGGAGGCAAAGGAAAGCAGAGGCUUUUAAAGGCAAAACGAGAAGGAUUGCAUACCUUUUGGUGUUGUUUGUUUUCUUUUUUUUUUUUUUUGGAGACGAGUCUCGCUCUGUAGCCCAGGCUGCAGUGCAGUGGCGCGAUCUUUGCUCACUGCAAGCGCCGCCUCCUUGGUUCACGCCACACUCCUGCCUCAGCCUCCUGAGUAACUGGAACUACAGGCGCCCGCCACCAUGCCCGGCUAAUUUUUUGUAUUUUUAGUAGAAAAGGGGUUUCACCGUGUUAGCCAGGAUGGUCUCGAUCUUCUGACCUCGUGAUCUGCCCGCCUCGGCCUCCCAAAGUGCUGGGAUUACAGGCGUGAUCCAGCGUGCCCGGCCAGAUCGUUUUAAAAUAAUAAUACUUGGUUACAAGAAUUAAUACAGGUGGCUUCAGUCCAAAAGUUGAACAGGCAGUUGCUGGGCAGAUGUCCUCAUAUCAUGGCUUUUGUGCAAGGUUGUGGUUCUUUGUGCAAGGUUGCAGUUUGGUGGAAUCUCUUGCAAUAAUAGUUCCUGUUACCAGCCAAAUCGUCGAUGAGGGUCCCCCACUUCAUGGUCUCCCAGCACCAUUUAGUUUGUUUGAGACAGGGUCUGGCUCUGUUGCCCAGGCUGGAGUGCAAUAGUGCGAUCAUAGCUCACUGCAGCCUCUAACUCUUGGGCUCAAGUGAUCUUCCCACCUCAUUCUCUGGAGUAGCUGGGACUACAGGAGCACCAUUUAGUUUGGUUUUGACGUAAGUGACUCUUUUGGUACUGACAACUUUCACACACACACCGCCACCCCAAAUUCCAAUUGCCCCCCAGGCUCAAGUCUCGACUCCCACUUAUAAAGCCCUUAGCUCUUUCUUAAGAUCCUUGGUCCCCGCCCUGCCUAUGCUCCACACUGUACUUUUUCAAGACUGGGGGACGUGCACUUUACCCUGCUUGGAACAUUCUUCUUCCCAAAUGCCCUUUGCCCUGAGUAUUCCAACUUAUCCUGCAGGUUUCUACCUUACUAUCUUUUCCUCCAGGAAGCCUUCCCUGCUUCUCCUUCCAGAACAGCCUAUGCUUUCCCUAUCCUGGCCCUCCCCCAUUCCCCCAGCCAUGACUGAAAACUGGAGAGGGCAAAGACUGUCUGUUCUGCCUGUUUUCCAGCUUGGUGUCUGACUCCAACAGUAGAUAGUUAAUUGGUAUUUGUGGAACGAAUCAAGAAAAGGAAAGCUCCUUGUAGUAAAGUGGCCAGAUGUUUAUUAUUUUGUUACAUUAUUUCCAUUGCACAUUCCACAUCUAUUUAUUUUCACUUUUAUUUAUUAUUAUUAUUUUUCACAAAGGUACAAGGAAUUUCAGAAACAACAUUAAAACAAUCAUUCAAACUGUUUCAGGCACGGUUUCAAUUAAAAGCAUAGAUUUGAUUUCUGACUUCCUGUUUCCCUCUAUGAUACAAUCUCAAGUUUUGUUCCAGGAAGCACAAUUAUUGUAGCGUUAAGGUGGAUACCCGCCAAAGCUCAUCUCCUAGUGCUGUCCUCAUUCUCAGAAAGUUCCUGAGUCAACAGAAAGGGGACGCCCAGGGUAUGGAAUAAGGAGAUGAGGGCAUGCUCUGCCAACUGGCUGGGACCUGAAUGUGCUAGGCAAGUUCCACUACAUCAGCUCAAGAACAUAAACAAAAACGUAAUUUAAAAAACAGAUGGUUUAAAAAAAUAUCUGAUAAAAAUUACCUAUCCCUCUCCCUUGCUGUGAAAUAAUUUAAAUAAUUUAUUCUAGAUGUAAAAAUAAUAAUAAAAAAAAGUUUGUUCAAAGA